rnacentral:rRNA from 1 species
AGCGUAGGCGGACUUUUAAGUGGGAUGUGAAAUACCCGGGCUUAACCUGGGUGCUGCAUUCCAAACUGGAAGUCUAGAGUGCAGGAGGGGAAAGUGGAAUUCCUAGUGUAGCGGUGAAAUGCGUAGAGAUUAGGAAGAACACCAGUGGCGAAGGUGACUUUCUGGACUGUAACUGACGCUGAGGCUCGAAAGCGUGGGGAGCAAACA